AAAGAAUUAUCUUAGUCUUUCUUGACCCAUCAUAUCUGCUGAUGGCUGCCAAAAAGACCAAAUUACACAAAGCUCCAAUCAAAUUUAAACAUUCAUCAUUGCUUUCAUAUUUCAGUUUGUAUUUAUCAAUUUUAUGACAACAUUAAUUAAAGUUAGCAGCUAACUUAGCGGUCCUAUUAGCUGACUCAGUCAAGAAUGGGCACCAGAACGGGCAACGGAACCGGGAUCAGCAGACUCCCAGUGAACACGGACAGACCGGGACCGACAGAGGCCAGUUUGUUGACAGGGAAUACAAUCACAAUACGAGAUGAUUUACAGCGGCUCAACCAGGACGAGAGAGGACUGAAAGGGGGGUCGUGCAUCAGAGAGGCAGCAACAGCGCGUAGAGCCAGAAUAUUUUUCACAUCUAACGCGGAUUAAAGAUUUAAUUCCACCAAACCAGAGUUGGGGAUUGUUGGAACAGUUUAAAGACUAACCAAGACGAUUUUGACUAAAAAAGCUAAGAGAGCUUGUGUAACGUAGCGAACUUGCUGCUGGCACACAUCUCCCAGCUAGAACUACCUGAGCUGUACUGUCGGACUAUCGCCUCUUGAGGCACAAGUGGUAUUACAACACAGGACGGGCCGGGGCUAGCAGGGCCCCUGACUCUCCAGUGCAGGAAACAGUGUGUGGUUUUUGUAUUAGGGUUUUUCACUGUGAUGGCUGGGGGACACAGUGAUAUAGAUCCAUACAAAAACCUAAGAGCAGUAAUCUGACACUCUCCCUUUCUUGUGAUGGAAAAAAAGGACAGGACAAAAUAUUUCUCAUUGGAAUAUGAGGACGACACUAGGAUAUAAAACUGACCAGGAUUUCUGU